GAUGAACGCUAGCGGCAGGCUUAAUACAUGCAAGUCGAGGGGCAGCACGGGUAGCAAUAUCUGGUGGCGACCGGCGCACGGGUGCGUAACACGUAUACAAUCUGCCUUUAACAGGGGGAUAGCCCGGAGAAAUCCGGAUUAAUACCCCAUAACAAUACCGACGGCAUCGUCGGGAUUUAAAAGCUCCGGCGGUUAGAGAUGAGUAUGCGUCUGAUUAGCUAGUUGGUGAGGUAACGGCUCACCAAGGCGACGAUCAGUAGGGGAUCUGAGAGGAUUAACCCCCACACGGAUACUGAGACACGGAUCCGACUCCUACGGGGGCAGCAGUAAGGAAUAUUGGACAAUGCCCGCAAGGGUGAUCCAGCCAUGCCGCGUGCAGGAAGACGGCCCUAUGGGUUGUAAACUGCUUUUGUACCGGAGAAAACCUCCCCUCGUGAGGGGAGCUGAUAGUAUGGUAAGAAUAAGCAUCGACUAACUUCGUGCCAGCAGCCGCCGUAAGAC
rnacentral:rRNA from 1 species